CCUACGGGUGGCAGCAGUCGAGAAUUUUUCUCAAUGGGGGAAACCCUGAAGGAGCGACGCCGCGUGAAGGAUGAAGGUCUUCGGAUUGUAAACUUCUGUCAUUAGAGAACUAGUACCUGAAGAGGAAGAGACGGCUAACUCUGUGCCAGCAGCCGCGGUAAUACAGAGGUCUCAAGCGUUGUUCGGAUUCAUUGGGCGUAAAGGGUGCGUAGGUGGCGGGGUAAGUUGGAUGUGAAAUCUCGGAGCUCAACUCCGAAACUGCAUUCAAUACUGCCUUGCUAGAGUACUGGAGAGGAGAUUGGAAUUUACGGUGUAGCAGUGAAAUGCGUAGAUAUCGUAAGGAAGACCAGUGGCGAAGGCGGAUCUCUGGACAGUACUGACACUGAGGCACGAAGGCCAGGGGAGCAAACGGGAUUAGAUACCCUUGUAGUC
rnacentral:rRNA from 1 species